rnacentral:tRNA from 1 species
GUGGUUGUAGCUCAAUGGUAGAGCGCUGCUCUGUGGAAGCAGAUGUUGCGGGUUCGAUCCCCGUCAACCACCCCA